rnacentral:rRNA from 1 species
UACGGGGGGAGCAAGCGUUGUUCGGAUUUACUGGGCGUAAAGGGCGCGUAGGCGGCGUGACAAGUCACUUGUGAAAUCUCCGGGCUUAACUCGGAGCGGUCAAGUGAUACUGUCGUGCUAGAGUGCGGAAGGGGCUACUGGAAUUCUCGGUGUAGCGGUGAAAUGCGUAGAUAUCAGGAGGAACACCAAUGGCGAGGGCAGCUCGCUGGGACGGUACUGACGCUGAGACGCGAAAGCGUGGGGAGCAAACAGG